GUUAAUGUAGCUUAAACAAAGCAAAGCACUGAAAAUGCUUAGAUGAGUAUUUAUACUCCAUAAACA
rnacentral:tRNA from 1 species